AGUAAAGUAAUGAAAGAAGAUAGGAUAAGGAAUAAGUAUAUAAGAGGUAAUAGCUUAGGCGUGGCGUUAGUAGUAUGCAAAAGGAGAUAAAAUAAUCUAAGGUGGUUUGGGCAUGCUGUGAAGAGAGAGGAAUCAGAAGCAGUAAGAAUUGUAAUGAAAAUAAAUGUUGCCGGUAAGAGGGAGAGAGGAAGGCAAAAGAGGUAAUUGGAUGUAUGUAAGAUAGGAG